UACGUAGGGUGCGAGCGUUGUCCGGAAUUAUUGGGCGUAAAGGGCUCGUAGGCGGUUUGUCGCGUCGGGAGUGAAAUCCAUUGGCUUAACUGGUGGCUUGCUUUCGAUACGGGCAGACUGGAGGUAUGCAGGGGAGAACGGAAUUCCUGGUGUAGCGGUGAAAUGCGCGAUAUCAGGAGGAACACCGUGGCGAAGGCGGUCUCUGGGCG
rnacentral:rRNA from 1 species